rnacentral:rRNA from 1 species
CUCGUAGGUGGCCAACUAAGUCAGACGUGAAAUCCCUCAGCUUAACUGGGGAACUGCGUCUGAUACUGGAUGGCUUGAGUUUGGGAGAGGGAUGCGGAAUUCCAGGUGUAGCGGUGAAAUGCGUAGAUAUCUGGAGGAACACCGGUGGCGAAGGCGGCAUCCUGGACCAAUACUGACACUGAGGAGCGAAAGCCAGGGGAAGACGAAACG